UUCGCGCGCUAGUCGACACCUACGCGCUGCCCUCACGCUAAACAAUAACUUUUACUCAGAAAAAAUAUAAUCUAUGAUAUAAAAAAUAAAAUAUUGUUUAUACCAGUGACAUCUAUUCGAUUUUUAAAAAGUGACUCGUUCCAAAUAUGAUAUUGACAUUUGGUUGUUUUCGUGUUAAUGACAUUUCAUUUUGGCGGCAAAUGAAGACGGGUUUCACUGAUGACGUUCUCGCACAUUUCCCUCAGUAAAUCAUAGAAUGACCAGCGCGGGCGCAGCUCGUGAGUAGACGCCGCUGCCUGCUUCACACGCCCGAUGGGCAAGACGUCCGGGGGCCGCCUCGACGCCGGAGUACGCUCGCAUAGAGUCGCGAACAGAAGAGAGUCGGGAGUUUGCUGGGGCAGGCGCGGGCGUGCGGGGUGCGCGCGCGCAGGGGGCGCGGGCGGCGCGGGGGCGG